CGAUGGAGGGGGAUAACUACUGGAAACGGUAGCUAAUACCGCAUAACGUCGCAAGACCAAAGAGGGGGGACCUUGGGCCUCUUGCCAUCGGAUGUGCCCAGAUGGGAUUAGCUAGUAGGUGGGGUAACGGCUCACCUAGGCGACGAUCCCUAGCUGGUCUGAGAGGAUGACCAGCCACACUGGAACUGAGACACGGUCCAG
rnacentral:rRNA from 1 species